CCGUGCUAGGCGGGGAGGUAGCGGUGCCCUGUCGCUCGCAAUCCGCUCUAGCGAGGCUGAAUCCCCUCUCGAGGGGUGAGGCCUGCGGUGUCGUCGUGCCGAGUGAGGCGUUGAUGGCCCGGGUCCCGUGCGACGUCGGUCCGUGAACCAGGUCAGGUCCGGAAGGAAGCAGCCUUAAGCGGGUGCCGGCGGGCGUUACGGGAAUCCCCGAGCUGGAGCUGAGCCUCGGUGUGCCGCCCGCGGGUCGCACUUCGAAGGAGGGUGCACGG
rnacentral:SRP_RNA from 1 species